UACGUAGGGUGCGAGCGUUGUCCGGAAUUACUGGGCGUAAAGAGCUCGUAGGUGGUUUGUCGCGUUGUUCGUGAAAACUCACAGCUCAACUGUGGGCGUGCGGGCGAUACGGGCAGACUGGAGUACUGCAGGGGAGACUGGAAUUCCUGGUGCAGCGGUGGAAUGCGCAGAUAUCAGGAGGAACACCGGUGGCGAAGGCGGGUCUCUGGGCAGUAACCGACGCUGGGGAGCGAAAGCGUGGGGAGCGAACAGG
rnacentral:rRNA from 1 species